rnacentral:rRNA from 1 species
UACGUAGGGCGCAAGCGUUGUUCGGAAUCACUGGGCGUAAAGCGCACGUAGGCGGAUCUUUAAGUCAGGGGUGAAAUCCUGGAGCUCAACUCCAGAACUGCCUUUGAUACUGAAGAUCUUGAGUUCGGGAGAGGUGAGUGGAACUGCGAGUGUAGAGGUGAAAUUCGUAGAUAUUCGCAAGAACACCAGUGGCGAAGGCGGCUCACUGGCCCGAUACUGACGCUGAGGCACGAAAGCGUGGGGAGCAAACAGG